AGGAUAAGAGUUUAACAAAACAUAUAAGUUGCAAUUAUAAAAAAAACUACACUGUUUUUAUCUUA
rnacentral:tRNA from 1 species